rnacentral:rRNA from 1 species
CCCCCCCAUAAGAGGUCCAGCCUGCCCAGUGACGUUCAACGGCCGCAGUAUCUUAACCGCGCGAAGGUAGCGUAAUCACUUGUUUUCUAAAUAAAGACUAGUAUGAAAGGCACCACGAGAAUUAAACUGUCUCCUUUUUCCAAUCAGUGAACCUAAUCUCUCCGUGAAGAAGCGGAGAUUUUAACAUAAGACGAGAAGACCCUGUGGAGCUUAAAACAUCUUUAUCAUCUGUAUCUUGAUUAAGUGUUUUAGGUUGGGGUGACCACGGAGAAAAACCCAACCUCCGUAAUGAAAAACUAGAAGCUACAGCUUUAAGUAUCAAAAAAUUGACACCAUCGACCCAAUUAUUGAUCAAUGAACCAAGUUACCCCAGGGAUAACAGCACAAUCCACUUUAAGAGCCCCUAUCGACAAGUGGGCUUAUGACCUCGAUGUUGGAUCGGGGUAUCCUAGUGGUGCAGCCGCUACUAAAGGUUCGUUUGUUC